rnacentral:rRNA from 1 species
ACGGAAGGCAGCAGCUAAGAAUAUUCCGCAAUGGGGGGAACCCUGACGGAGCGACGCCGCGUGGACGAUGGAGGCCGGAAGGUUGUAAAGUCCUUUUUUGCGCGAGGAAGGAGCGGGCGAGGAAACGCGCCCGCGGCGACGGUAGCGCUGGAAUAAGGGGCGGCUAAUUACGUGCCAGCAGCCGCGGUAACACGUAAGCCCCGAGCGUUGUUCGGAAUUAUUGGGCGUAAAGGGCGCGCAGGCGGCCCGGAGGGCUUGGCGUGAAAGGCGGGGGCUCAACCCCCGUAUGCGCCGGGAACCGCCGGGCUGGGGUCGCCGAAGCGGUGCCGGAAUUCCGGGUGUAGGGGUGAAAUCUGUAGAUAUCCGGAAGAACACCGAAAGCGAAGGCAGGCAUCGGGCGGACGACCGACGCUGAGGCGCGAAGGCAUGGGAAGCGAACAGGAUUAGAUACCCUGGUA